rnacentral:rRNA from 1 species
CCUACGGGAGGCAGCAGUGGGGAAUAUUGCACAAUGGGGGAAACCCUGAUGCAGCGACGCCGCGUGAGUGAAGAAGUAUCUCGGUACGUAAAGCUCUAUCAGCAGGGAAGAAAAUGACGGUACCUGACUAAGAAGCCCCGGCUAACGACGGACCAGCAGCCGCGGUACUACGUCGGGGGCAAGCGUUAUCCGGAUUUACUGGGUGUAAAGGGAGCGUAGAGGGGAGCAUAAGUCAGGAGUGAAAUCCCGGGGCUUAACCCCGGAACUGCCUUGGAAACUGGGCGGCUGGAGUGCAGGAGGGGUAAGCGGAAUGCCUGGUGUAGCGGUGAAAUGCGUAGAUAUUAGGAGGAACACCGGUGGCGAAGGCGGCUUACUGGACUGUAACUGACGUUGAGGCUCGAAAGCGUGGGGAGCAAACAGGAUUAGAUACCCUUGUAGUC